CUGCGGCGCCUUUCGGGGCGCCGCAGUACAACCAGGACCGACGCUCACAAAGCCGAAGUCCUUAUUUGAAAUGAUAUAGAUGACCAGCAGGGGCAACCGGGCUGGUGCCCGGACUAUCUGCGGGAUCCUGAGUGGCUUUCAUCCUGGUCGCCGUACCCGGAGUUGAGGCUGCGAUGCCGAUUCCACGCCGGUGGUGUCCCCUUACCGAGGGUGACCA
rfam:Pseudomonas sp. FeS53a scaffold10.1, whole genome shotgun sequence.